rnacentral:lncRNA from 1 species
AAUGAAGUGACUUCUUAUUUUAUAUAAUGUUAAAUGAGAAGUUUGGAUACAUUGAUGAUACAUUAAAGUAAUUUAUUACUGAUUACUCUUAACACUUAUAGAAACAAGUACAUUCUUCAUGAGGAUCCUCAGCAACAAAGCACUGUGCAGAGAUGAACUUGGUUUUGUACCUAUGUUUACAGAAGAAUGCACAGUCCUUCAAGCGACAAACAAGUGCUGGCAGCCUCAGUUCACACAUCCUGUGUUUAAAUCCAACCACUUCCCUGCUCACUGAAACAGCUGAAAAUAACAACACCAUUGCCAAGGUUAGCAAAGAACAACACAUGCAUGCAGAACAAACACAAUUUAAUUAACAUGCAUUCACAAUCUAUAUAUUCUUUCUCAUUCAACACAUAUAUCAUGUACCAUGUUUUUUUUUAUAUAUAUAUGAUAACCACUUUUAUAAUAGGAUAUAAUAUUUGUAUUAUAAAAAAAAUAAAUUUAUUUCAUAGUAUAUAAAUGAAAAACAUAUUUAACCUAAUAGAUAGAUUACUGUUUAACAGCUAUAUAAUUUCACUGUUAAAUAAGAGGAUUUGCAAACCUGAAAUGAUAAGGAAUAAGGCAAAAAAAUUGUGUUGAAGACAUAUUCGCCAC